CCGUAAACGGUGGAACUAGUUGAGGGGGCCAUUCCACGGCUUCUGUGACGAAGCUAACGCAAGUUCCCCGCCUGGGGAGUACGGCCGCAAGGCUAAACUCAAAGGAAUUGACGGGGGCCCGCACAAGCGGCGGAGCAUGCGGAUUAAUUCGAUGCAACGCGAAGAACCUUACCAAGGCUUGACAUAUACAGGAAACGGCAGAAAUGUACGCCCCGCAAGGUCUGUAUACAGGUGGUGCAUUGUCGUCAGCUCGUGUCGUGAGAUGUUGGGUUAAGUCCCGCAACGAGCGCAACCCUCGUCCUAUUUGCCAGCACGUAAUGGUGGGAACUCAUGGGAGACUGCCGGGGUCAACUCGGAGGAAGGUGGGGAUGACGUCAAAUCAUCAUGCCCCUUAUGUCUUGGGCUUCACGCAUGCUACAAUGGGUGGUACAAAGGGUUGCGAUACCGCAAGGUGGAGCUAAUCCCAAAAAGCCAUUCUCAGUUCGGAUUGGGGUCUGCAACUCGACCCCAUGAAGUUGGAGUCGCUAGUAAUCGCAGAUCAGCAACGCUGCGGUGAAUACGUUCCCGGGCCUUGUACACACCGCCCGUCAAGUCAUGAAAGUCGGUAACACCCGAAGCUGGCCUAACCUUUUGGAGGGAGCCGUCGAAGGUGGGUUCU
rnacentral:rRNA from 1 species